UGCCAGCAGCCGCGGUAAUACGUAGGUGGCAAGCGUUGUCCGGAAUUAUUGGGCGUAAAGCGCGCGUAGGUGGGAUCAUAAGUCUUAUGUAAAAGUGCGGGGCUCAACCCCGUAAAGCGUGAGAAACUGUGAUUCUUGAGUGCAGGAGAGGAAAGCGGAAUUCCCAGUGUAGCGGUGAAAUGCGUAGAUAUUGGGAGGAACACCAGUGGCGAAGGCGGCUUUCUGGACUGUGUCUGACACUGAGGCGCGAAAGCUAGGGGAGCGAACGGGAUUAGAUACCCCGGUAGUCCUAGCCGUAAACGAUGGGUACUAGGUGUAGGGGGUAUCGACCCCUCCUGUGCCGGAGUUAACGCAAUAAGUACCCCGCCUGGGGAGUACGGCCGCAAGGUUGAAACUCAAAGGAAUUGACGGGGGCCCGCACAAGA
rnacentral:rRNA from 1 species